rnacentral:rRNA from 1 species
GUAGGGUGCGAGCGUUAUCCGGGAAUCAUUGGGCGUAAAGAGCUCGUAGGCGGUUCAGCAAGUCGGCUGUGAAAUUCCGAGGCUCAACCUCGGAACUGCAGUCGAUACUGCUGUGACUCGAGUCCGGUAGAGGAGAAUGGAAUUCAGGGUGUAGCGGUGAAAUGCGCAGAUAUCCUGAGGAACACCAGUAGCGAAGGCGGUUCUCUGGGCCGGUACUGACGCUGAGGAGCGAAAGCGUGGGUAGCAAACAGGAUUAGAUACCCUGGUAGUCCACGCCGUAAACGUUGGACACUAGGUGUGGCGUUCCGACCAACGGGUGCCGUGCCGAAGCUAACGCAUUAAGUGUCCCGCCUGGGGAGUACGGCCGCAAGGCUA